AUGGUGCAUUGGAUCUCUUGGGAGAAGAUGUGCGAUGCCAAGCGGGAUGGAGGCCUAGGGUUUCAAGACCCAGAAGCUUUCAACCAAGCUCUCUUGGCUAAACAGGCAUGGAGGAUUCUGCAGUGCCCAAUGUCAUUGUGUGCUCGAGUUCUCAAGGCAAGAUACUUCUCGGAUACGACAAUUAUGUCAGCCACUUGCCCAUCGGGAGGAUCGUUCACUUUCCAGAGUAUACUUCAUGGGCGCGAUCUGUUGAGAGAGGGCCUUGUGUGGCGAGUUGGCGAUGUAACUAGGAUCAAUAUACACCACGACAAUUGGAUUCUGAGAAGCGGAAGCAUGCGGCCACUAGGAGCUGUUUUUGUACAGGGGGUUACCAAGGUGGCCGAUCUCUUGGUGAGUGCUGGCGAUGCAUGGGACAACAAUAGAAUUGAUGACAUGUUCUCUCCGGUUGAUGCUUUUGACAUUAGGCAGAUUGCGGUAGGAGGGCCAGCGAUGGAGGACUGUCUUGCAUGGAAUUACACGAAGAAUGGGGUUCAUGGUGCGCUCGGCUUACCAUCUGAGGAUGACCAUGAACAAGUUGAAAACCGGACGGCCGGAAUCAGCAAGCAGUCAAUAAACAUCAAGGGUAGCUCGGCCUAUGGGAUACUAGCGCACCAAAUAAAGCCAAGAUUCAUAUGUGGAGAGUUAUUAGGAAUGGUUUAG
rnacentral:rRNA from 1 species